rnacentral:rRNA from 1 species
GAGUUUGAUCAUGGCUCAGGACGAACGCUGGCGGCGUGCUUAACACAUGCAAGUCGAACGAUGAAGCUGGAGCUUGCUUCGGUGGAUUAGUGGCGAACGGGUGAAUAACACGUGAGAAAUCUGCCCCUGACUCUGGGAUAACUGCGGGAAACUGUAGCUAAUACCGGAUACUUUCCCUGGUGGGCAUCCACUGGGGAAGAAAGAAUUUCGGUCAGGGAGGAUCUCGCGGCCUAUCAGCUAGUUGGUGAGGUAACGGCUCACCAAGGCGACGACGGGUAACCGGCCUGAGAGGGUGACCGGUCACACUGGGACUGAGACACGGCCCAGACUCCUACGUGAGGCAGCAGUGGGGAAUAUUGCACAAUGGGCGCAAGCCUGAUGCAGCAACGCCGCGUGAGGGAUGAAGGCCUUCGGGUUGUAAACCUCUUUUAGCAGGGAAGAAGCGAAAGUGACGGUACCUGCAGAAAAAGCACCGGCUAACUACGUGCCAGCAGCCGCGGUAAUACGUAGGGUGCAAGCGUUGUCCGGAAUUAUUGGGCGUAAAGAGCUCGUAGCGGUUUGUCACGUCUGCUGUGAAAAUCCAAGGCUCACCCUUGGACUUGCAGUGGGUACGGGCAGGCUAGAGUGCGGUAGGGGAGAUGGGAAUUACUGGUGUAGCUGUGGAAUGCACAUAUAUCAAGAGGAAACGCACUGGUCGAGGGCUCAUCUCUGGGCAGUAACCUGAGGCUUAGCGACCCAAAGCCCGUGGGAGCGCACCCUGCAUUCACCUACCCCGUUUAGUCCCCCGCCGUAAAAUCCUGAGUAGCACACUGUGAGUCCACCUUCCCAUGACGUUCCCUGGAUGAACUUAAAUCUCUACAUCUAUCUUCAUCGAUCGUGCCUUUCGUGCAUACCUGGUGAAUACCAUCUAGCGAUUUGCUCUAGCGGCUGCCGCCGCUACUGGCAGCACUUUCGGUAUUAUUUUACUGCUGAUCCCCAUGAGCAGCGUAGCUGCUUUGUUUCUACUAAAGAAAAAACUCUAUAAACUACGCCUACUCCCUAUC